CGUGCAGGCGGUUUGGUAAGUUGGAUGUGAAAGCUCCCGGCUCAACUGGGAGAGGUCGUUCAAUACUACCAGACUUGAGAGUGGUAGAGGGAGGUGGAAUUCCCGGUGUAGUGGUGAAAUGCGUAGAUAUCGGGAGGAACACCAGUGGCGAAAGCGGCCUCCUGGACCAUUUCUGACGCUCAGACGCGAAAGCUAGGGGAGCAAACGGGAUUAGAGACCCCGGUAGUCCUAGCUGUAAACGAUGUGAACUUGGCGUCGGUGGUGUAAAAGCCAUCGGUGCCGCAGCCAACGCGAUAAGUUCACCGCCUGGGGACUACAGCCGCAAGGUUAAA
rnacentral:rRNA from 1 species